AACGAACGCUGGCGGCAGGCUUAACACAUGCAAGUCGAACGAGAUCUUCGGAUCUAGUGGCAGACGGGUGAGGAACACGUGGGAACAUCCCUUUCAGUUCGGAAUAACGUUGGGAAACUAACGCUAAUACCGGAUACGUCCUUCGGGAGAAAGAUUUAUCGCUGAAAGAUUGGCCCGCGUCUGAUUAGCUAGUUGGUGAGGUAAUGGCUCACCAAGGCUACGAUCAGUAGCUGAUCUGAGAGGAUGAUCAGCCACAUUAGGACUGAGACACGGCCCAAACUCCUACGGGAGGCAGCAGUGGGGAAUAUCGGACAAUGGGCGCAAGCCUGAUCCAGCCAUGCCGCGUGAGUGAUGACGGCCUUCGGGUUGUAAAGCUCUUUUGUCCGGGAAGAUAAUGACUGUACCGGAAGAAUAAGCCCCGGCAAACUUCGUGCCAGCCGCCGCCGUAAGAC
rnacentral:rRNA from 1 species